GUGUGUGUGUGUGUGUGUGUGUGUGUGUAUAUAUAUAUAUAUGUGUGUGUGUGUGUGUGUACACACACACACACACACACAC